rnacentral:rRNA from 1 species
UACGUAGGGCGCAAGCGUUGUCCGGAAUUAUUGGGCGUAAAGAGCUCGUAGGCGGCCUGUUGCGUCCGCUGUGAAAUCCCGGGGCUUAACCCCGGGCUUGCAGUGGAUACGGGCAGGCUGGAGGCAGGCAGGGGAGAACGGAAUUCCCGGUGUAGCGGUGAAAUGCGCAGAUAUCGGGAGGAACACCGGUGGCGAAGGCGGCCUGCUGGGCAGUAGCUGACACUGAGGCGCGACAGCGUGGGGAGCAAACAGG